UUGCCAGAGCAGCCUCUCGGGAAUUUGCCAGCAAUACAUGGCACUUCUUCAUGCUCCAGCUUGCCAAGCAGCCCAGCAUGGCCAAAGUCUGUUCAAGGAGCUGCCAGCUGAUGCUCCUCACUGUGACUGGGGAAUGCAAUUAUGGUGCCAGAGGCACUGACACUGGGGUUGGCUCUGUAAGUGUUCUCAAGAUGUUAUUUUCCUCGGAAAUCAUUACAAAUGUCAAUUAGGUACUUGAUCCAAGUGGUGUUUAUUUUGCCCCUCCUGAAGGAGAUGUAUGUCAGAACAACAGAAUUACCAACAGCUUUUUUUUUUUUUUUUAAUAGAUGCAUCUUUACUGAAACUGAUGUGUAUCAGUGUUUACUCAGUCACUGCUUUGGUGGCAGUGACUUCUAAGAAAGGGACAUUAUGUAAACACCACCCAAUUACUGUCAUCUGAAUUGACACUGUGUGAGUCAGCACUCAGGGGACAGCAAGUGAGAAACACAGCCCAGUGAAGUUAAAGCAUUUUAAAGUAGGCAUAAGAGAAGUAGUUCAUUAUAUUUCCUGAGGCAGAAAGGCCACAAUAAUCAGCUUAAUUUAUCACACAGGAGUUGUCUCAGUCAUCAGCAAAACACCUGCAGGCACUUGGCAGGCAGUGGGCUUGGAGAGAGGCUGCAGCCCCUUACACUUGGUAUCUCAUUUUAACUGAAUUUUCAUCAGCUCCCAGAAUUUUUCAGGAACUACAUCUUUGUAUCUUUUAUAUCUUAGUUAACACACUUUAUUAAUCACUAGGAAAUUCUGUAGUGGUUUUGAAGUACACCUUGUGGCCUCUUGUGGGCUGGUUGGCUCCUUCUGCAUCUUUUUUUUUUUGCUCUGGAGGUAUUUUUCCCCACUUCUUCUCAGUACUGAAGCUGUACUGAACAUACAAAGACACUUGCACAGAAUCCUUUCCCAGAGACCUUUGGAAUGACUGCAAACGCUGGUGUUACCAAGGCUCAGUCAGGAACACAGCUGUUAUUUGAUGACAUUCUUACACAGGCAUGAUGCAAAGUCACACACCACCUUACCCAGAUUCUCUAUGCAUAUCCAUGUUCACCUUCCCUCCUGAGUUUUCACUGUACCUCCAUUCUGGUGAAAUUACUUUUCCACUCAAGAAUGUUUUAAGGCUUUUUUUGGGGGGGAUUCUAUUUUUUUCUGUCUUCCUGGGGAAACAUUUUGUGACUGUACAGUCAGUUUAUAGAUCUCCUACUUCCUCCAGCUUUUAACAGUUUUCAACCUGUGGCCAGUUCUAGUCCAGUUUGUAAGCCAGGUACAGUCUAGUGCCACCACAGUUCAGGCCAAAAAAAAAAAAAAAA